UGCAACUGAAACCGUCUUGUCAAAAAUAACUGUCGGAUUUUCGUGUUAAUUUUUUAAAGUUUCCUUGAUAAUAAUGAAUUAUUGUAAUACUAAAGUAUAUCUGUUCAAAAUAGCAGUUUUCAACAUAAUUUUAUAGUUUCUAAUUACGUGAAUGUGCUGUUAGUGCUACGUUUAUCUGAAUUCACAAACGUAAGUGCUCUUGACUCAUGACAAUGAACUGAUGUGCUCAAACAUUGACAAAAUUCUCGUUCUAUCUACAUUUUAGGUGUAAAGAAACAAUUGGAGCUUGGCAUAGGCAACUGAUUCACUCCUGUCGUGGACCACAGCUUUCAAAUAUGGCACUUGACAGGUAUGGACCAACAAAUUGGUGGAGGAGAGACUUGAGACGAGGUCUGCAAUGCAUUGAUGAAGCCAGAUUGUUGGAGAUUGAGAUACAUGGAUGCUGAUUUAUGAGCUUUCCAUCCUGGUGUGACCUGAGUCAUAGAUCAGAGCAGAGCCUUCACGUGUGCUUGUUGACAACAGCUGGUUGAACGAUCAGUUGUUGAGGAUUAUAAGGGAGGGGGACUCUCGACUGUGGAAUGAAGAACUAGACUAGUUCCUGACAGUGAGCAGAAUGGGAGAGAACGAGGGAGAAGUUGAAGAUCAUCACUGCAUGUCUCCGGAACAUUCAAGCGAGCGAAGUGAGUUCUCACCACCUGAGAUCAUCACUGAUGUGUCGCCGAGCGAAGUGAGUUCUCACCACCUGAAACCAUCACUGAUGUGUCGCCGAGCGAAGUGAGUUCUCACCACCUGAGAUCAUCACUGUCGCCGCGCGAAGUGAGUUCUCAUCCCCAGUUGCAGUCUCCAUUCAUCUGGAUUGCGUGGACACAGAAGAGAGGGGAAUGAUGGCCAGCUCCACAGAAGAAGACAAAUGGAGGAUAUCAAGAAGAAGCAGAUUACAAAGUGACAAGUGCAGAAUGAUAAGACUCUAAUUUAGUGCAAUGAUUGAUUUCAAGUGAAAAAUUCAAGUGUGAGAAUGAAAGGACUCUAAUCUGGUUUCACUCACACCGAGGACAUUGAAAUGUUUUGUUGUUGUGUUAUGUUUUUCAGCUUUUGCUUGUUUUAUGUUGUAAGAAAUAAAUGAGCAUGGGGUGUGUCCUAUUUUGGGGUGGGGGCUUUUCAGGCAUCUAUGCUGGCUGGUAGGAGAAGGAGGAGGAAAGGAGAGGACAUCGCAGAACUUCAAAAAAAGGUAAAGUCCGCUCUCAAUUGAUUUUAACAGUUCAAUCAAAUUCUCUUUCCUCAUACUAUUCACAUAAUUUGCAAUUUAUUUCAGUUUUCAUCAUUUCAAUCAUCUGUCUUUAAAGUAUUUUAAAUUUUCAUACAAGUGUUUAAUUAUUAUUUACAAGUGGCAUCGUUCGAUGUAGCUUGUGAAGCUUCUUCUUUUGAAUCAAUUUUUUUAAAAAAUACAUUCAAUUUGUAAAUACGUCAAUUCUAAAGUCUGACUUUUAUAAUAAUUAAAAGUUAAUAAUAUAAAUGUAUUAUUGUUGAACUGUUGAAUUCGGUAGUGGGCGACUUGUGUGGAAUAGGUGAUGCAUGUCUAGACCAUCAACCCCUUUUCAGUAGAUUCUCUUCAGUUUUUCUUUCUAUCAGCUUUGGUAUUUGAACCUUUAAUUCUUUUUUCUCAUUGUUUAUAGGAAAUGUCCCUUCCAUUUUUUUAGUUUCAGGUUUUUUUUAUUUGCUUUGGAGGCGAACCUUCAGUUCAAAUUCAAUAUCGAAGUAUAUGUCGAUACAUGGUUAUUUUUUAUUUUCUUGAAUUUUUAGGAAAUGUCCCUUCCAUUUUUUAGUUUCAGGUUUUUUUUAUUUGCUUUGGAGGCGAACCUUCAGUUCAAAUU
rnacentral:misc_RNA from 1 species